rnacentral:rRNA from 1 species
UACGUAGGGGGCCAGCGUUGUCCGGAGUUACUGGGCGUAAAGCGCCCGCAGGCGGUCGUGUGCGUGGCGGGUGACAGUCCCCGGCUUAACUGAGGAAGCGCUUGCCAAACGGCAUGACUUGAGGACCAGAGAGGGAGACGGAACUCCGGGUGGAGCGGUGAAAUGCGUAGAGAUCCGGAAGAACACCAAAGGCGUAGGCAGUCUCCUGGCUGGUAUCUGACGCUCAGGGGCGAAAGCUAGGGGAG